rnacentral:siRNA from 1 species
GGAUAGUCCGAAUCUCUCAUGUG